GCUGGGUGUGGUGGCACAUGCCUGUAAUCCCAGCAGCUCCGGAGGCUGAGACAGGAGGAUUUCAAGUUCAAAGCCAGCCUCAGCAAUUUAGCAAGGCACUAAGCAACUCAGUGAGACCCUGUCUCUA
rnacentral:sRNA from 1 species